rnacentral:rRNA from 1 species
GACGAACGCUGGCGGCGUGCUUAACACAUGCAAGUCGUACGGUAAGGCCCUUUCGGGGGUACACGAGUGGCGAACGGGUGAGUAACACGUGAGUAACCUGCCCACAACUUUGGGAUAACGCUAGGAAACUGGUGCUAAUACUGGAUAUGUGCUCCUGCUGCAUGGUGGGGGUUGGAAAGCUCCGGCGGUUGUGGAUGGACUCGCGGCCUAUCAGCUUGUUGGUGGGGUAGUGGCCUACCAAGGCGGCGACGGGUAGCCGGCCUGAGAGGGUGACCGGCCACAUUGGGACGGAGAUACGGCCCAGACUCCUACGGGAGGCAGCAGUGGGGAAUAUUGCACAAUGGGCGCAAGCCUGAUGCAGCAACGCCGCGUGCGGGAUGACGGCCUUCGGGUUGUAAACCGCUUUCAGCAGGGACGAAGCUUUUUGUGACGGUACCUGCAGAAGAAGCACCGGCUAACUACGUGC